rnacentral:miRNA from 1 species
GCUUCUCAGAUGGCGGCGGCGGCGGCGGCGGCGGCGGCGGCGGCGGCGGCAGCGGC